GAUGAACGCUGGCGGCGUGCUUAACACAUGCAAGUCGAACGGAAAGGCGCUGCGCUUGUGGGGUGCUCGAGUGGCGAGGGGGGGAGUAACACGCGUGGAACCUGCCCUUAAAUGAGGGGGAAAUCUACGGAAAUGGGGAGAAUAUCGGAGAGGAGCUACUGCUGCGUGGGGGGGGUUGGAAAGAGACGGUGUUGGGGGAUGGAAUCGCGGCUUAUUAGCUGGUUGGGAUGGUCGCGGAGUACCAGGGCUAGCAUGGGUAGCCGGCCUGAUAGAGUGAUCGGCCACACUGGCACUGAGACACGGUCCAGACUCCUACGUGAGGCAGCAGUAGGGAAUCUUCCGCAAUGGGCGGAAGCCUGACGGAGCAACGCCGCGUGAGUGAUGAAGGUCUUCGGAUCGUAAAACUCUGUUAUUAGGGAAGAACAAAUGUGUCAGUAACUAUGCACGUCUUGACGGUACCUAAUCAGAAAGCCACGGCUAACUACGUG
rnacentral:rRNA from 1 species